rnacentral:rRNA from 1 species
CCUACGGGAGGCAGCAGUGAGGAAUAUUGGUCAAUGGGCUUACGCCUGAACCAGCCAAGUCGCGUGAGGGAAGACUGCCCUAUGGGUUGUAAACCUCUUUUGUCAGGGAGCAACGCCGGCUACGUGUAGCCGGACUGAGAGUACCUGAAGAAAAAGCAUCGGCGAACUCCGUGCCAGCAGCCGCGGUAAUACGGAGGAUGCGAGCGUUAUCCGGAUUUAUUGGGUUUAAAGGGUGCGUAGGCGGAAUGCCAAGUCAGCGGUAAAAGCGCGGGACUCAACCUCGCUCCGCCGUUGAAACUGGCGUUCUUGAGUGGGCGAGAAGUAUGCGGAAUGCGUGGUGUAGCGGUGAAAUGCAUAGAUAUCACGCAGAACUCCGAUUGCGAAGGCAGCAUACCGGCGCCCAACUGACGCUGAAGCACGAAAGCGUGGGUAUCGAACAGGAUUAGAUAUCCUUGUAGUC